GAUGAACGCUAGCUACAGGCUUAACACAUGCAAGUCGCGGGGCAGCAUGUUGGUUGCUUGCAACCGAUGAUGGCGACCGGCGCACGGGUGAGUAACGCGUAUCCAACCUACCUAUUACCACGGGAUAACCCGGCGAAAGUCGGACUAAUACCGUAUGUAGUCCUCCAAUGGCAUCAGCAGUGGACUAAAGGUUUGGCGGUAAUAGAUGGGGAUGCGUCCGAUUAGCUAGUUGGUGAGGUAAUGGCUCACCAAGGCUUCGAUCGGUAGGGGUUCUGAGAGGAAGGUCCCCCACACUGGAACUGAGACACGGUCCAGACUCCUACGGGAGGCAGCAGUGAGGAAUAUUGGUCAAUGGACGAGAGUCUGAACCAGCCAAGUAGCGUGCAGGAUGACUGCCCUAUGGGUUGUAAACUGCUUUUAUGCGGGGAUAAAGUGGGGAACGUGUUCUCUAUUGCAGGUA
rnacentral:rRNA from 1 species